rnacentral:rRNA from 1 species
ACGUAGGGGGCAAGCGUUGUCCGGAAUCAUUGGGCGUAAAGAGCGCGUAGGCGGCCCAGUAAGUCCGCUCUGAAAGUCAGGGGCUCAACCCCUGAAUGCGGGUGGAUACUGCUGGGCUAGAGUCCGGAAGAGGCGAGUGGAAUUCCUGGUGUAGCGGUGAAAUGCGCAGAUAUCAGGAGGAACACCGAUGGCGAAGGCAGCUCGCUGGGACGGUACUGACGCUGAGGCGCGAAAGCGUGGGGAGCGAACAGG